rnacentral:lncRNA from 1 species
GCCCCCUUACGUUUUGGCAUUUAUUUACAAGCGGCGCGACUGUGUUGAUGAUGACAGAGCGUCCCGCAGCUUUCUCCCAGUGUAACCACUCUGUAACAGACUCCCAGUGAUGAUGCAGGCGGACUUGAACUGGCGGCUGAUCGUACCCGGGGCCACGCAGGAGGAGGAGGAGGAACGGUACCGGAACCAGCGAGGGUGCCGGUGCUGCUGUGACGGAGCGCAUCGGGAGAAGGCGAGCUUCUACAGCCUGGUCCUAGUGCUGCUGCUGGUGCUGGUGCUGGUGCUGCUGGUGCUGGUGCUGGUGCUGCUUCUGCUGAUGGGAGCACUGGGAUGGUUUGAUCUGACCGGAGACCAAAAGGUUUUGCACUGCCGUCCUGGUAGUAUGAAGCAGUCUGAGGCCAAACAGGAAUAA